rnacentral:rRNA from 1 species
UCAGUAGGGUGCCAUUCAAGA